GAACGAGAAAAAAAGGAGAAACAGCUCAUAAGAGACUUCCUUUUCUUCUGAUUUCUGAUUGACAUCGAUUAUCUAACCUUCCUUAAUUCAGUUCUGAUGCUUUCAUCUCUUGGGAGAAACAACUGGAUUUCCCAAUGGACAAACUGGGAGCCCCCUUUAUUGAACUGUCACAAUCAUCCUUUGAAGCACUGCUUUUUGAUUGGUCCAACUCCAUACUAAUAGUUUUGGAAAGCAGUUUUCCUGUAAAUUACAUCUUUCUCUUCUCUCUAACUUCAUUCCAGUUUUGUUCUCUUUCUCUCUCUCUCUUUCUUUCUAAAAUCUUUUCAUUUUUGCAGCACUUUCUGUAGUUUGCAGUUUUAUCUUUUUUUUCUACUUUUCUAACUGAGCUACAC
rnacentral:lncRNA from 1 species